GAAAUGCGAUACGUCAUGCGAAUUGCAGAAACUUGUGAGUCAUCAAAACUUUGAACGCAACUUGCACUUCCUUUCGGGGGAGUAUGUCUGUUGGAGUGUCUGUUCAUCCCCACUUUGUUACUCUAUGUACAAAGAGUCGACCACUUGAUGUGAACUUUUUUGUUUGAAUUCGAGUGAGUCUAGAUGAUAGACCUAAACACUAACGAACUCGGCCAGGGCUCCGCAUUUUCUUCGGAAAGUGUGCUCGGUCGACGCGACGUGACAAAUUAGCUCUUUCGGAGCUUCUUUCCUCUCAACGCGUCUUCAUUUCAAACGAGCAAAUAGGACCUUGAUUGUUCCCGGUUCUUCCGACCGGACCUCCAAUCAGACAAGAUUACCCGCUGAAUUUAA
rnacentral:misc_RNA from 1 species